AUGGAGUCCCAGGAUGUUACUAUCAGGAAGACACACUCCAGACUCCAGGGACCUGUACCUACAGUCCAAGACAAGAUAUCCAGCAAGGGCUCUGUGGUUCUAGCCUACAGUGGCGGCCUGGACCCCUCCUGCAUCCUCGUGUGGCUGAAGGAACAAGGCUAUGAUGUCAUUGCCUACCUGGCCAACAUUGGCCAGAAAGAAGACUUUGAGGAGGCCAGGAAGAAGGUGCUGAAGCUUGGGGCCAAAAAAAAGUGUUCAUUGAGGAUGUGAGCAAGGAGUGUGUGGAAGAGUUCAUCUGGCCUACUGUCCAGUCCAGUGCACUCUACGAGGACCGCUAUCUCCUGGGCACCUCUCUUGCCAGGCCUUGCAUAGCUCACAGACAAGUGGAAAUUGCCCAGCGUGAAGGGGCCAAGUAUGUGUCUCAUGGUGUCACAGGACAGGGGUCCACUUUGAGCUCACUUGCUACUUAUUGGCACCCCAGAUUAAUGUCACUGCCCCCUGGAGGCUGCCUGAGUUUUACAACCAGUUCAAGGGCCGAAAUGAUCUGAUGGAGUAUGUGAAGCAACAUGGAAUCCCCAUCCCAGUCACAUCCAAGAGCCCCUGGAGUAUGGAUGAGAUCCCAGCUAUGAGGCUGGGAUCUUGGAAAACCCCAAGAACCAAGCACCUCCAGGUCUCUACACAAAAACUCAGGACCCUGCCAAAGCUCCCAACAGCCCAGAUGUCCUUGAGACAGAAUUCAAAAACGGAGUCCCGGUGAAGGUAACCAACAUCAAAGAUGGCACCACCCACAGCAUGUCCUUGGAACUCUUCAUGUACCUGAACAAAGUUGCUGGCAAGCACCGUGUGGGUCGCAUUGACAUUGUGGAGAACCACUUCAUUGGAAUGAAGUCCCGGGGUAUCUACGAGACCCCAGCAGGGACCAUCCUUUACCAUACUCAUUUAGACAUAGAGGCCUCCACCAUGGAUCAGGAAGUAUGAAAAAUCAAGCAGGGCCUGGGCCUCAAAUUCGCAGAGCUCGUCUACAUGGGUUUCUGGCACAGCCCUGAAUGUGAAUUUGUUCGCCACUGCAUCGAGAAGUCCCAGGAGCAUGUGGAAGGGAAGGUGCAGGUGUCUGUCUUCAAGGGCCAGGUGUACAUCCCCGGCCGGGAGUCUCCACUCUCACUAUACAAUGAAGAACUGGUGAGCAUGAAUGUGCAGGACGACUAUGAGCCCAUUGAUGCCACCGGUUUCAUCAAAAUCAACUCGCUCAGGCUGAAGGAGUACCAUCACCUUCAGAGCAAGGUCACUGCCAAAUAG